UUUUUAGUAUAAAUAUGUCCUAUGUGAUAUUUAGGACAUACUUACACUAAAA
rfam:Loxodonta africana unplaced genomic scaffold scaffold_13, whole genome shotgun sequence.